rnacentral:ncRNA from 1 species
AAAUAUCGCUUUUUUCCGUUUCUUUUUUUACUUUAGCGCCUAAAUUAAGGGGCUUUUGCGCGUAAGAAAAGAAACGAAAAGUAGCGCCUGAGCCUCCAAUAUGGAGGCUUUUUUGU